AACCCAUUCUGCUUGAAGGUAUAAAGGGAGAUUUUCCUCUUUUCUCCCUCAAACUGAAGAACACAUGUAAAUCCUUGUUUUUCCUCGUAAGGCUGGGGAGGCCAUAGCCACAAUGCUUAACUGCAUGCAUCUAACCCAGGGCUGGUUUUAACCCCAGCGCUCUGACCUAAACUGCUCAGCUCCCGGAAAUUCCAAGGAACCCAGUGGCCUUAGUACUUCAGGUGGAACCGCGUGUACGACAUGGGAAAGAAAACCAAGCGAACAGCUGACAGUUCUUCUUCAGAGGAUGAGGAGGAGUACGUCGUGGAGAAGGUGCUAGAUAGGCGUGUGGUUAAGGGGCAAGUGGAAUAUCUACUGAAGUGGAAAGGCUUUUCUGAGGAGCACAAUACUUGGGAACCUGAGAAAAAUUUGGAUUGCCCUGAGCUAAUUUCUGAGUUUAUGAAAAAGUAUAAGAAGAUGAAGGAGGGUGAAAAUAACAAACCCAGGGAGAAGUCAGAAAGUACCAAGAGGAAAUCCAGUUUCUCAAACACUGCUGAUGAUAUCAAAUCUAAAAAAAAGAGAGAGCAAAGCAAUGAUAUUGCUCGGGGCUUUGAAAGAGGACUGGAACCAGAAAAGAUCAUUGGGGCGACAGAUUCCUGUGGCGAUUUAAUGUUCCUAAUGAAAUGGAAAGACACAGAUGAAGCAGACCUGGUUCUUGCAAAAGAAGCUAAUAUAAAAUGUCCACAGAUUGUGAUAGCAUUUUAUGAAGAGAGACUGACAUGGCAUGCAUAUCCUGAGGAUGCGGAAAACAAAGAGAAAGAAACAGCAAAGAGCUAAAGGAGGGGAUGGUCUCUGUCGUUUCUCUUUGUACAUAAUACAUUCACCUCCCUGCCUCCUCUCCCUUCUACCUACCCCCAUCUAUCCUAAACACAUUCAUAAAAAAUGUGCUUAUCACUGUGCUCCACAGGAGAAAUGUUGGUAUUGGUUCUCUUAUAACAUAACUGAUGGUCUGAUUCAUGAUAAGUGUCUCUCUGUGAAGACCAGGCAUUUGCAUACUGUGUGUAAUUCCCACAAUUUUUUCCUUUGCCCUGAUCUCUUUAUUCUACUCCCCUGUGAUCUCAAGAUGAGUUUUAACUUUUGAAUCACCUGAGAGUCAUGAUAUUUUCAGGGUUUGUCACUUUUAGAUUGGGGGAUUUUGUCACAAUGCUGGUGAGUUUUGGUUCUUAAAACUUGUUUGAUGAUCAACUAGCCUUUGUUUGAGAUGUUGGGAUGGAAAAGAUGUUGCCCGUCUUUUUAAAAAGGCAGUAGCAACUGCCUACCUGUUGGGGCUUUCCCAACCUCAUUCAGCUCUAUCCAGGAGAAUACAGGGUUCCUGGUGUGGUCUUCUUGGCCACCCUCUGUUGUUCAUCCUCACCCAUCCUCCUAGAAUAGCGCCAUCCUUGGAGGACUUGAAAUUUGACAUUUAGAUUUCUCAAGGCACACUCCUUUCAGCCCCAGGACUUUUGGCUUUGUUUUUUUUAGCAAUCCCUGAUUCUGCUUCUGCAAGGUGGUGUAGUCUGUCAUAAAGUGACAAGAUUAUUAACUGUGGAGCUUUUUAGCUGUUAGUACAUGAGGAUGGUGGGGUAGGAUACAGUUGUCUUUAUUAUCACAUAUGGUAUAUAUGUAUUAUUUCCUUCCAUCCCUCACAUUUGGACUAUAUAUUUAUGUAGGUGUGAGUGACUGCCUGGUGCUUGCUUGUGCCAAGGUGCUAGGCACCGUCCAACCCUGCCAACUUCUGUGGCCUCCCAAAGCAUUCCUGUUAACCAAAGAGGCUUCAAACCUGACCCUCACUUCUCAGUGGACCCAAGUUUCCCCUCUAUGCCAUUAUUUUCAGUGAGGAAUUUUUGGAGGGGAGCCAUUGGCCACACUCUCAAUUUUAAAUAUUCAUAGCAUUUAUAGUCAUAAAUGUCCUUGUUGACUCCUGAAUUUGCCAAGAGUCCCCAAAGUAUUAAUGCUCUUCCUUUUCCACUUUAAAACUCUUUGUAUCUUCUUUUUGAAGAUGCAUUUCUAUGGAAGACUAUCACCUCGGUGAGUGACAGGCCUUGGCAUUAGCAUGUUGACACAACCGUCUUUCCUUACUCAGCAAAAUAUUUCCCUUUUAGCUUCCUCCUGUUUUGCCAUGAUAUUGAGAGUUUAUUUUUCUGAUAACCUGUCUGUUUUCUUAGUAAUGUCCUACUUCUCUACUCUUUUUUUCCUUUGGGGAGGGGAGGGGGCGGAGCUAGAGAAUCAAAACUAAAAGCAAGGAAAUAGCAGGGUUUUGAGCCUCCUUGUCCUAGUGCAAAGCUGAGAAAAUAAGAAUAAAUGCUUGAAAUAGCCUUAACUCUAUAGAGUUCACCAGCCAUCAAAGGUUGUUUUUUUGUUGUUGCUUUGAUUUUUAAAACAGCUGGCAGAAGCAUUCGACCAUUUCUAGAUUAUUUUGAGUAAUGAGGGGGAAUGAAUAUCUUGCUCUAGUCCACAGAUGAGCUGAAUAAUAUACAAAUUAUAUACCCAUUCUUAGCCUUUGUUAACAUUGCUUCUCUGCCCGGCUACUGAUUGAAUUCUGUGUGCUUCUAUAAAUUAUGUCAAAAAUUAUACUGCACAGUUGAAAAGACAGUCGUUGAUGCAGUGAAAUGACAGACUGGAACAAGGAAGACUGGUUUAAGUCAUCCAGGAAAAUCUUUCUGAAUGGAAAUGUGAUUAGGAGGAAAGAAUAUUACAGGAGUCUUAUGACUAGUUAUAGAGAAGACUUUAUCCCCUCUCCUUGAAGUGACAAAUAGGGAGCGGUCAACAUUUAUAUCCUUAAUCUUGAGCUGUUUAUGAGGAUGCCACAACUCCAGAAGGUGAGCUGAGUCCAGAAGGGUUGGUAAGAUGUUGUCUUUGAGGAAUUGUGGGGAGGGGCCAGAAGCUACAGGAGGGUGGUUGGUGGUGCUGAGGUUCCUAUGCUCCUAGUUUAGCCUGUAGAGGAUGUUGCUGCUCUCACCACUAUUGCUGGCCUUUCUCCACCAACCUUGCAGCUCAGACCACUACUGGGGAAUGGUUCUUAUUUCUCUUCCUGGUUCAGUGUGGUCUUGCUUCAUUUUGGAUUUUAGGAAAUUGGGUUACUUGGUACAGAACUUUGGGAAAUCAGUGUGACUUAGUUCUUUACUUUGCUAUUUAAAAUGUAAUUUUAUUUUCAAAACAUCCAUUAACACAUGGCUUUCAGAAGCAGUUUGUUUCUUUACGGUCCCUUGAGUAUGCUAGAUAAAUAAUAGCCCUCGGUUAAUACUUGUGGGUUGAUUGAGUUUAUCUACUUUGCAGAGUGAUGUGUACUUACUAGCUUUCUUUCGCUCCCAAGUGCACUCUAAAAAGUCACAUGCUCUAGGGAGUGGAGUUAAGAAUUGAGUGGAUUCUGACUAUGUGCCAACCUCAACUGAUUCAUAAUGGCUGACCUUGGGCAAGUCACUCCUUUCAAUGCCUCAGUUCCCUAUCUGUCAAAUGGGGAUAAUAAUACUGACCUACCUCACAGGGGUGUUGUGAGGCAUUGUAAAUCAAAGUUGAUAGAAUAGUUUAGGGUCCUCAGUGGAGGAUGCUUUGAGCCGAAGUCCAGGCCUAACAUAGGCUUUAGUCCUCACUGAGCUGUCCCAAGGUUGGAACCACUUAGUGACCUCAGAAAGUUUUCUGCCCCCCCACCCCUCAUCAAAGCUGCUAGUUCAGAUGUUGGCUGUUUUUUUGGGAAUGUUGGAGUCUGAGUCCAGACUUAGGAUGUUUUGGGGGAAGGCACUUAGUAUUUUCUACAUCUCACAUCCACACAGAGAGCCUAUUUUAGAUCCAAGAGCAUUGGAUUAGGGAAUCAUGAGGCGGGGAUGCUAUUGCUUGUUUCUGCAGGUUGGGAAUUAAGGUCCCAUGCCCCAUGGACUUGGAACAGACUCAGUUUGUCUCAGAAGCAAAGCAAAGACAUUGGGUUUGAUUUAUGUCAUUGCUUACCACUCCCCAAAAUGACCCCCACACAACUGGGACACUGCAGCCCUUUGUGGUAUCUGUACCUAAGCCUCUGCCUCCCCACAGGAACCAUCUGGUUUGGAAAACAUACCUACUUCCAGUCCCCAUUGGAAAAUUUUUUAAGAGGUAUGUUUAAUACUCAGAAUUGGGCAUUGAUACUCUAAAACUUCAUCCAAUUCAUUGCAUUCAGCAUCUGUCAACUCUUGCAGGGUCCACAGUGGGAACCUGACUGACCCUUUUUUUCCUCCAGUUUUUUUCCCCUCCAGUUUGGGAAAACUUUUGACACUAUUUCUAUUUGCCCAGGUGUGGGCUCAAGAGCCUUACUCUCCAUCUCAGUUUAGGGGCUCACUCAGCUCCUCUCCCCAAUAGGGCUCUUUCUUUUCCUCCUUGGCCCUAGAUGUGUAACCCAUGAAAAAGCACAAGGUCCUGGCCUCCUGCUGCAGUCACAUUCCCGUUAUCCAUGUUUUGUGGACUCUGCACCUCUGUUCACCCAGCAUUGGCAACACCAGGUGUUUCUGUGGAGUUCUGGAGCAUGGAGAGACACUGUCUGAAUCCUGCCAAGUAGCCAUGAGUUGACGCGUGCAUGGCCCACAGCCUUCCCACGAGAUGGGAUCUAAGAGACUCGAGAGGCUGGGUUUCUCUCAUCACUACCAUCCUGAGUAGCAAACAAACCACACUUUGUAACCAGAUUUCUGAAUGGAAAAUGGGAAAUUGAAUUCUCUGGACUUUUCAGUUUGUGGGGGAGUAUUGGUUGUGUUUCUUAUUUUAGCCAAACAUGUCUGCUUAUGGUUUUUAAAUUGUUCUUUUAGGAUAA